GCAGGGUCUUGAACGCUGAGCCAGUGGACCGUUAGUGGUCCUACUUAGUCAUUGGUCAGCGCCGCGCUGGACCCGCCCACAAGCAACCGUCAAAGAGCCGCCAGUUAGCGAGUGCGUUGAGUCAACGGUGGGCCUGCGCAAAGUGGCGGUCUUCAUACAGAGAGCAAGGCAGAGAAGAAGGUUCAAAGGCCCAGAACUAGCAUGUGUGGCUGGAGUGUAACCUCUCUGGGGUACAAACAGGGCAAGAGAUGUGACAGAGAAGCCGACCAGGUCACAGAGUGCCCUCCUCACAGUCCAAAGGACAAUGCGCAGAGGGUAGAGAUUCCCUCCCUCAUGGAAUUCAUCAGACUUGGAUAGACCAUUUGAUGUUUAGUUUGAGGGAACAAGCACUGGCACAAGGUCAGUGAACUUCUGCAAAGUUUGACUCACUUUCUUUGCAUUUAGGGGGUGGGUAUCCUCUCAGCCCUUGGGGCAGCUGGGUGCAGCCUGGGGGAUACUUUCAUGAUUGAUGAUACAAGAACCUCUCAAGGCCUGGCUUUCUUUUAUUUUAAGAGAGGAUUUUAAAAAAAAAUAUUUAUUUUUAUUUUUGUCUGCAAUGAGUCUUAGUUUA
rnacentral:lncRNA from 1 species